AUGUUCUUCUCCACAAAGAUGUGUGUUGCUACCAUCAUGGUGCUGGCCCUGACGCUCUCGCUUCAGGGCACCGUUGCCGCCGGCCGCCUCUUUCCCAACUCCGGGUGGGACGGUUGUCCACCCGGCACGUCACGGAAAUGCACUGGUCCGCCUCGCCAUUGCCCGUGUCUACCAAAUCUUCGACUUUUGGAUCGCCAAGACAUGAUGGCGAUGCCCAAGAAGAACAGCCUCGUGCUGUCCCAGCUAUCGUGCCCGGAACACCAAGUGUGGGUGUGCGAGGGGGGGAGAUGCUCCUGCGAGUACUAG
rnacentral:rRNA from 1 species